rnacentral:lncRNA from 1 species
CAGGUCCCAAAGGACAGGGCACACAGAGGAGCAGGUUACACAGAGGAGCAGGUCACACAGGCAAGCAGAUCACUCAGGGGACAGGUCACACAGGCGGACAGGACACACAGGCUAACUACUUGAACACUGUAAACCUGCCCGACCAGACCUAACUAGAUGAACACUGUAAACCUGCCCAACCAGACCUAACUAGAUGAACACUGUAAACCUUUCCGACCAGACCUGCUGAUGCCCUGGGCCAUCAUCAGAUGGAACUCUGUCCAGCUCCAGUCAAAAAUAGGAGAAUGAAGAGCACUUUCCCACUUACCUGGGAAAAUCAAAGCUGCCACGUGCUGCUUCCAUCAGCUCAGAGAAUACAGCAAGAUUCAAUUCAGCAGCAACAGGGGAAGAUGAGCAAAGGGACGAGGCCUCUCCCAGGAUCUGGAUGUUUCUGCUGGCAAGCCCCAGGGACCCUCCUUGUUUCACCUCCCCAGGACUGAGGUUAUAGGUGACCCCUGUGAAAGGGUCAUUUGACACUCCCCCAAAGAGGUCACAACCCAGAUUGAGAACCGCUGCUUAGGACUUUCCAGAAAAAAACAGCUGACUAAGGCACGGAGGCUUGUGGGAUAGAAGACCUUGCCAGGAAACUUGGAAGAUACUGAAGGAACCAGCCCAGCGGACCACCAAGAGAUGAGAAGCGGAAAGAAGUCUGGCUUCAGCCCCUCUGCUGAGGCUGCUCUGAACCAUGCAUCCAGUCCCUGACUGUCUUGCCUGACACCAAGUGA